rnacentral:lncRNA from 1 species
UAGCUCAAUCUCACAUAACUGAACCUCAAACUUCAAUUUUAAGUCCAAACAAUGGCAACCAACAGACUUGAACCAAGUUUUCAGCUACAAAACAUCGGAGAAAAUCAACAUAACUCAACAGACUUUGCAAAAAUCUCAACUAGUCACAAAUCUAUAAGAAACUACACUCGAACUCAUUAAUAAAGCUCAAAUGAUAGCAACAAUGAAAUACAAACUCAGAAAUUCCAUAGCUUAAGAACUGCCAAAAAACAGAGUUACAUGAUGAAAUAGAAAAUCAAACCUGAAGUUGCAAAAAACCUCUGUUAAUAGUUACAGCCUUAAUAAUAUGCCUUUUUCCUUCGAAUACUAGCGAGGUUUAGCAGCAAUUCAGCAAGACAAUAGUAGAAAACCAAGCUUGAACUUCAAUUUUAUCUCCUUGGAACUCAAAUUCGGAUUCAGAAAAAUAAAAAAUUGUACAUAUGUUUCUCAUAAACUUUGAAAGAAAUCUUCAAAUAAGAAAAAACAAAUCCAAUUAAAGAACAGAAAACUAGAAGUUAAAGAGACCUUUCAACUUUUCUCUCCAAAUUCGUUACCAGCCUCCUUUCAAAAUUGGAUAGAACUUCUUUUUAAAGACAAAUUUCUUAUAAAUGUGGGGCUUGGAUUGAGUAAAAUCGAUCCAACGCCUCACACUCAUCCAGCAAAUCGUUCCCAGAAGCUUCCAAUCGUGAGAUAAAACUCAAUGUCGAGCGAGUGGGAGGAGAGCAAAAUAUUGGCGUCAGACCAUUAGAAAUGGUGAGAUGAGAGAAGGAGGGACGCGUGGAUUAGGGAUUUGGGAUUCACUCGCACGAAUUUGAAUGGAAUCUGGAGCUUGGUUCACGUGUUCUUCGGAGAAGAAAAACAGUAUGCGUUUGAU